rnacentral:lncRNA from 1 species
CCCACACAGGCUCCCACAGGUACACACAGGCUCCCACAGGUACACACAGGCUCCCACAAGCUCCCACACAGGCUCCCACAGGCACACACAGGCUCCCACAGGCACACACAGGCUCCCACAGGCACACACAGGCUCCCACAGGCACACGCAGGCUCCCACAGGCACACACAGGCUCCCACAGGCACACACAGGCUCCCACAGGCACACACAGGCUCCCACAGGCACACGCAGGCUCCCACAGGCACACACAGGCUCCCACAGGCACACACAGGCUCCCACAGGCACACACAGGCUCCCACAGGCACACACAGGCACACAUAGGCUCCCACAGGUACACACAGGCUCCCACAGGCACACAUAGGCUCCCACAGGUACACACAGGCUCAUCAGUCUACCAGGACCUGUGAGCAUCUGUGCUCUCUAUCUAGGAGUUAAACAUGUGGCAUGCUUGCCCUUCCCUCCCAUGGUG